rnacentral:rRNA from 1 species
GGUGGGGUAAAGGCCUACCAAGGCGACGAUCUGUAGCGGGUCUGAGAGGAUGAUCCGCCACACUGGGACUGAGACACGGACCAGACUCCUACGGGAGGCAGCAGUGGGGAAUAUUGGACAAUGGGCGCAAGCCUGAUCCAGCCAUGCCGCGUGUGUGAAGAAGGCCUUAUGGUUGUAAAAGCACUUUAAGCGAGGAGGAGGCUACUUUAAUUAAUACCUAGAGAUAGUGGACGUUACUCGCAGAAUAAGCACCGGCUAACUCUGUGCCAGCAGCCGCGGUAAUACAGAGGGUGCAAGCGUUAAUCGGAUUUACUGGGCGUAAAGCGCGCGUAGGCGGCUAAUUAAGUCAAAUGUGAAAUCCCCGAGCUUAACUUGGGAAUUGCAUUCGAUACUGGUUAGCUAGAGUGUGGGAGAGGAUGGUAGAAUUCCAGGUGUACCGGUGAAAUGCGUAGAGAUCUGGAGGAAUACCGAUGGCGAAGGCAGCCAUCUGGCCUAACACUGACGCUGAGGUGCGAAAGCAUGGGGAGCAAACAGGAUUAGAUACCCUGGUAGUCCAUGCCGUAAACGAUGUCUACUAGCCGUUGGGGCCUUUGAGGCUUUAGUGGCGCAGCUAACGCGAUAAGUAGACCGCCUGGGGAGUACGGUCGCAAGACUAAAACUCAAAUGAAUUGACGGGGGCCCGCACAAGCGGUGGAGCAUGUGGUUUAAUUCGAUGCAACGCGAAGAACCUUACCUGGCCUUGACAUAGUAAGAACUUUCCAGAGAUGGAUUGGUGCCUUCGGGAACUUACAU